rnacentral:rRNA from 1 species
CAGCAGCCGCGGGAAUACGUAGGUGGCAAGCGUUGUCCGGAAUUAUUGGGCGUAAAGGGCUCGCAGGCGGUUUCUUAAGUCUGAUGUGAAAGCCCCCGGCUCAACCGGGGAGGGUCAUUGGAAACUGGGAAACUUGAGUGCAGAAGAGGAGAGUGGAAUUCCACGUGUAGCGGUGAAAUGCGUAGAGAUGUGGAGGAACACCAGUGGCGAAGGCGACUCUCUGGUCUGUAACUGACGCUGAGGAGCGAAAGCAUGGGGAGCGAACAGGAUUAGAUACCCCUGUAGUCCCUGUCUCUUAUAC